GCAGUCAUCCUGCGACCUCCAGAAUCCACCGGGGUGCAGCGAGGCUGUGGAAAGUCCCACCCAGAACGUGAGUUUUAACUUCUAGUCAUGGCGAAUGAUCGCAGGAGAGCACAGACUGGACCCUGCUACGAUCUCUCUUGGAGUGGAUCAGACUGAUGAUCACCAACAACCAACUCAUUCCCGGAUAAGGAAGAAGAGAGUGUCACCUACUUCAGUGUGGUUUCAACCCUACUUCUGCAUCUUAAAGACACUGUGUACAACGUUGGACACUGUGCAGGAUGAUGCCACUUCAUCUUGGAUGCUAAUCUGCCAUGUUGACUUCUGAUUAACCCCAGGCCCAGGAAUGCCUCAAGAUUUCUACUUUACUUACUGUUGCUUGUAAUAAAAGAAAUGACAGCCACCAUAGAGGAACUAGCCAAAGUUAAU
rnacentral:lncRNA from 1 species